UAAGCAUAUCUAUGAUUACUUUAUAGGUACAAGUGAAGCGUAUACCUCAAGGCACAGAGCCAGCCAUUUUCAAGCAGUACUUCACAACAUGGCGGGACGUGAACAUGUCUCACACUAGGGUGAUCUAAAUUGCUUAAUACCCAAUGGUACAAUAAAGGAAAAUUCUAAAAAUAAUAAUAAA
rnacentral:lncRNA from 1 species